rnacentral:rRNA from 1 species
GGCCGCGGGAAUUCGAUUUUGGAGGGCAAGUCUGGUGCCAGCAGCCGCGGUAAUUCCAGCUCCAAUAGCGUAUAUUAAAGUUGUUGUGGUUAAAAAGCUCGUAGUUGAACCUUGGGCCUGGCUGGCCGGUCCGCCUCACCGCGUGUACUGGUCCGGCCGGGCCUUUCCCUCUGUGGAACCCCAUGCCCUUCACUGGGUGUGGCGGGGAAACAGGACUUUUACUGUGAAAAAAUUAGAGUGCUCCAGGCAGGCCUAUGCUCGAAUACAUUAGCAUGGAAUAAUAGAAUAGGACGUGUGGUUCUAUUUUGUUGGUUUCUAGGACCGCCGUAAUGAUUAAUAGGGACAGUCGGGGGCAUCAGUAUUCAAUUGUCAGAGGUGAAAUUCUUGGAUUUAUUGAAGACUAACUACUGCGAAAGCAUUUGCCAAGGAUGUUUUCAUUAAUCAGGAACGAAAGUUAGGGGAUCGAAGACGAUCAGAUACCGUCGUAGUCUUAACCAUAAACUAUGCCGACUAGGGAUCGGACGAUGUUAUAUUUUGACUCGUUCGGCGCCUUACGGGAAACA